AUGAAAAUAGAAGACUUCCCAAGUCUGGGUGCCUCUAGUUCCCAAAACCAGUGUUAUUCAUGGCCAGGUGUGAACAUGAACCUCCCAAGCUUAGAAGAUACCUUGAAAGGAAAGCAUGUGGGUGCAGCCAUUGGUUCAAAAUUCUUUGUUGCAAAUGAGGAAACAAGGCAUAACAAUCCACACAUCCACACAAAAUAUGAUAGAAGCAAUGGCAUGGAAUGCUUCAUACAUGAGAAACAUGGUGUUGAUUCUUCUACCGCACAUGAUCAAUACGGCUAUAGCAUCCGCAAUCCACAAACAUUUGCAGCGUCCAACUCCAAUGCUGCAUUCAAAUCUUUAUGGCAAAGCAACACCAAAGAUUACACAACUAGGAGGUAUUAUGAUGACACCAAAGUGCGCAAUGGUCAUAAUGGUCGCCUUCCAACAUUACAAGAAUAUUGUCACCUUCCAACACCAAAGAUUACACAACUAGGAGGGGAUCAAUAUCAAAAGCAAUCCCAAUUCUAUAAUUGUCCAAAGGACGUGAAUCUGAGCAAUGGUCCUCAAGAUGCAACUACCACUCUGGAACAAGCAAGAGAUGAUACCCCAAUGGAAAUCUCGUGGGUGAAAAAGAAGUUGCUAAACAUGAGGAAGGAAAUCUGCAGGAAGAAGUCACAAGUGCCAUCAAAUUAUGUAGUUGGGCAUCCCCAGAUUUUUCAUGGUUCCAUGGUUUAUUCAGAAGGUAAUACAAGAAUUCUUGGUUUCCCUAUUAAUGAAACCACCGAUAAAGAUUCUCAAGUCUCAAGCACUAUGCACAUGGGCACAGAUAGCACACCCUCGAGUAAGGGUGUAGCUCAUAGGGAAAUGCAAUUCCAGAACAAGGAUGACACCAAUGCCAGGAAUCUCAUUGACCUGAAUGUUGCACUGCCUUUCAUUGAUGAAAUGGAGAUAGAUGCCCGCCUAUCAGAAGCUGACACCGUUCCUCAAGAACAAGAUGAUUCUUCCAACGAAGCUCUUGUUGUGACUGCUGCGAAAAAUCUUAUGGCCAUGCAUAAGGAUAAGUUCCAAGCAGGAUCACCUCCAGGUAAUAUGGAUGAUGAUGACUUUGAAGCUUUGAAAAUGUAG
rnacentral:rRNA from 1 species